GGAUGAUGUGGCUCAGUCGUUCGGGUAGCCUUGCAGUUUGAUCCUGGCUCAGUCAGAACGCCGUUUACGUGGGCUUCCAGCCUAUCACACUGGGAUAACUGCGGGAAACCGGAGCUAAUACCGGAUACGUUCUUUUCUCGCAGAGAGAAGAUGGAAAGACGGUUUACGCUGUCACUUAUAGAUGGGCCCGCGGCGCAUAGCUAGUUGGUGAGGUAAUGGCUCACCAAGGCGACGAUGCGUAGCCACCUGAGAGGGUGAUCGGCCACACUGGGACUGAGACACGGCCCAGACUCCUACGGGAGGCAGCAGUAGGGAAUCUUCCGCAAUGGACGAAAGUCUGACAGAGCAACGCCUCGUGAACGAAGAAGGCCUUCGGGUCGUAAAGUUCUGUUGUUAGGGAAGAACAAGUACCAGAGUAACUGCUGGUACCUUGACGGUACCUAACCAGAAAGCCACGGCUAACUACGUGCCAGCAGCCGCGGUAAUACAUAGGUGGCAAGCGUUGUCCGGAAUUAUUGGGCGUAAAGCGCGCGCACGUGGUUCCUUAAAUCUGAUGUGAAAGCCCACGGCUCAGCCGUGGAGGGUCAUUGGAAACUGGGGGAACUUGAGUGCAGAAAAGGAAAGUGGAAUUCCAAGUGUAGCGGUGAAAUGCGUACAGAUUUGGAGGAACACCCCUGGCGAAAGGCAACUUAUGGGUCUGUAACUUGACACUGAGGCCGCGAAAGCCGUGGGGG
rnacentral:rRNA from 2 species